GCGCACACGGGCCCGCAGAGCUCUGGGCUUCGCUUUGGUUAGUCCUUUUGUCCCGUUGAGCGGUGUAGCUAGUCUCCCAGCAGCUGUGCGUUCGUGUAAUUAACUGCAUAAAAUCCCUUAACAAACAGCUCUGGCAGAACAGUUCCUAAAUGUGUUUUCUAUGGACGGAUAAUUGUAAAUUCUCUUUCGGCUGUCUUUUAAUUUGCUGUUGUCCCACAUGCAAUGUAAUUAUCAUACAAGUUGCUGACAGUACCUUUUUUAACAGUGUUUAUUCCUGAGGAUUUAAUCUGUUUACUCUAAUACUGUGUCUUUUUUCUUUUUUUAACAAGGCUAUGUCUAUUCAUAUAAUGGAUACUCACAUCAGGAAAAUGGCACAGUUGUUGGACAAUGAUCAGUUUUUGGAAAAAGUUGGGGUGACCACAAAAUCCAGUCUACGGGGUGAUCACGCACUGGGGCAAGAUUUUACUAUGUCUCAUGUAGGACAAGAUAAUGGAUUGCUGAUAACACAUAUCAACAAGACACAAGAUCUGGUAGUAGAGAGUACAAAUGAAGAAAAUACAGUCUAAAAAGGUGCAAACCACAGAAGAAUGGCUAAGAAACUACAGUUUAGAAUCCUUGCAAUUAACAUUAGAGCAUCUGAUAAAUGAAGGCAAUAUUAUUUUGUAAGUGCAACACUGCUCUUUCUUUAGUCAGUCCUAAUUUGUGUGCAUCUCUGAUGCUAAUUAUGCAUAGUGUUCCAGGAAUUCAAGAAAUGGUGUUGAAGAGAUAGAGUUUACAGAAGAGACUGUUACGGAUUUUGAGUCCAGACUUUCUGAGUAGGUAUCCAUUUUGUUUAUGAUUUUGAUGCAUAAUGGAUUCUAUAUCCCCAUCCCCCAUGGUUACAG
rnacentral:lncRNA from 1 species